AAGGCUGAGCAGAAGAUUUGGAAACUCAUAAUGCAUUUCCCAAGAGUUUGCAAAGGUUGUGAAAUUCACAGGGCUCAACCUUUCUGAGAACGGGAGCUGACUGGACAAGACAGCUCAUUUCCAGUAAUGUUCCCAGUCAUUCAGCAAGCUGCACUGAGCCAGCCAUGAGAAGCUAUGGAUGAUAUAGCCUGGCCCAGUACCCUUAAGGAGAUCAGAAGAUAUAAAAACCAAGUUGCUGCCAGUGACAGAGUUUCAAACUGGAGACAGAUCAAAGAGAUAGAGUUGGAACACUAAAUGCACCCACAACCUAACUUUGACUAUGAGGAUGAAGAUACCAGCUUAGGAAAUAGUGAAGCAAUAAAUGGAAGGAAUCUGGGUCCUGAAUUGACUUUAUGGAGUAGAGACUCCCUGUCUAGUUGGACAUUCACCUCAUGUAAUAAAAACCCAAGAGAAUAAAUCAAAAUUGUGAAGGUGUCAUCAAGCUUUCCAUUCAGACAUGUAUCAGGUUAUAAUGUUUCAGGGUUUCCAACUGCUGGUGUAUGACUUCUUUGGCUGUAUAAAAACAAGUGCACUUGAUAACUCACGAAAAGAUCUGGAAGAAAUUUUAAUGCACAUUACUGAAAUGAAUGAAAGAAGCCAAUCCGAAAAUACUAUAUAUAUAUAUCACGAUUCCAACUAUGUGAUAUUCUGGAGAAGGCAAAACUAUGGAGACUAUAAAAAGAUUAGUGGUUGCCAGGGGUUUUGGAAGAGGGAAGGACGAACAUGUGGCACACAGACUUUUAGGGCAGUGAAACUACUCUGUAUUAUACUGGAAUGGUGGAUAUAUGGCAUUACACAUCUGUCCAAACCCAUAAAAUGUACACCAUCAAAAGUGAACCUAACGUAGUCUAUGAACUUUAGGUGAUAAUGAUACUGUGUUAAGAUAGGUUCUUCAAAAUGUAUCACUUUGGUGGAAGAAGCUGAAAAUGAGUUAAGGCUCUCGUGUGGGGGCAGGGGUGGGGAAUCUCUGGACCCUUCUUUAAAUUUUUUGUGAACUUAAAACUGCUCCAAAAAAUAGUUUGUUUAAACAAACAAGUGUAGAGAAGAAAGGCAAAAUGGGGAAGGGGAAGGAAAAAUAAGUUUGCGAAGAAAAUUUGUCUAUCUUGUCUGUCUGCCUGCCUCGUACUAUAAGAGUCAAAAGUGCAAGACCGGAACAGAGGAUUUGUGUUUUAAGUCCUGCUGGCUCUCAAGUUGCUGGGUAACCUUCAGUAAACUACCUCUUUUCCGGAUCUCAACUUAAAUGUUUAAAAUGAGGCUGUUGAACUGACCUCCAAUUCUCUUCUGGUCCUAGAAUUCCAGCCUUGCAGCUAAGAACUUACCUGCUUG